GAUGAACGCUAGCGGGAGGCCUAACACAUGCAAGCCGAGCGGUAUUUCUUCUUCGGGAGAGAGAGAGCGGCGUACGGGUGCGGAACACGUGUGCAACCUGCCUUUAUCUAGAGGAUAGCCUUUCGAAAGGAAGAUUAAUACUCUAUAAUAUAUUAAUUGGCAUCAAUUGAUAUUGAAAACUCCGGUGGAUAGAGAUGGGCACGCGCAAGAUUAGCUAGUUGGUGAGGUAACGGCUCACCAAGGCAAUGAUCUUUAGGGGGCCUGAGAGGGUGAUCCCCCACACUGGUACUGAGACACGGACCAGACUCCUACGGGAGGCAGCAGUGAGGAAUAUUGGUCAAUGGGUGCAAGCCUGAACCAGCCAUCCCGCGUGAAGGAUUAAGGUCCUAUGGAUUGUAAACUUCUUUUGUAUAGGGAUAAACCUACCCUCGUGAGGGUAGCUGAAGGUACUAUACGAAUAAGCACCGGCUAACUCCGUGCCAGCAGCCGCGGUAACAC
rnacentral:rRNA from 1 species